UGAGGGAUAUUGGUCAAUGGGCGCAAGCCUGAACCAGCGACGCCGCGUGGGUGAAGAAGGUCUUCGGAUCGUAAAGCCCUUUUCCCACUGAAGAGGAAGGACGGUAGGUGGGGAAGAAGUCUCGGCUAACUACGUGCCAGCAGCCGCGGUAAAACGUAGGAGACAAGCGUUAUCCGGAGUUACUGGGCGUAAAGGGCGUGCAGGUGGCGUCUUAAGUCUGUUGUGAAAGCGCCUGGCUUAACCGGGCGAGGCCAAUGGAGACUGAGAGGGUGGAGGACGGCGGAGGGGUGUGGAAUUCCGGGUGUAGUGGUGAAAUGCGUAGAGAUCCGGAGGCACACCAGAGGCGAAGGCGGCACUCUAAGCCGUACCUGACACUGAGACGCGACAGCACGGGGAGCAAACG
rnacentral:rRNA from 1 species